UACGUAGGGGGCGAGCGUUGUCCGGAAUCAUUGGGCGUAAAGCGCGUGUAGGCGGUUCGGUAAGUCCGCUGUGAAAGUCGGGGGCUCAACCCUCGGAUGCCGGUGGAUACUGUCGGGCUUGAGUACGGAAGAGGCGAGUGGAAUUCCUGGUGUAGCGGUGAAAUGCGCAGAUAUCAGGAAGAACACCUAUGGCGAAGGCAGCACUCUGGGACGGUACUGACGCUGAGACGCGAAAGCGUGGGGAGCGAACAGG
rnacentral:rRNA from 1 species